AGAUGAUGAUUAUGAUCCGAUGGUAAGGUCAUUAUAUAUCAGACUCAUUUUUCGUGAAAUGAUAAGAAAACAAAUGUUCGUAAGUACAGGUUAAUAUGUAUAUCAAACUAAGGACAUGUUUUGAUUUGACAGGCAUCCGACAUUGAUGGCCACCCAAAGAAAUGUGCAAGGUACUUCCAUCUCGUUGAUUUUUUUUAUAAGUGGAGUGUCAUAAAAAUAAAAGGCAUCGGGUGUGUUUGACUCACAAUCGAAUCUUCGAACAGAAGAUCUCGAGGGAGGCCAACACGCGCCAAGUCAGCUAAGAGCAAGAUGUGGCGUAAACCAGAGUUUGUUAACAGUGACAACAUUAACAUUAGUAGCAAUGGUGAGAGCGAGAGCGAGAGAAACAAAGAUGAUGAUUAUGAUCCAACGGUAAGGUCCUACAUGGAUCAUUUAAAAUUUCUUGAUUUAAGACAUUUUCUUCAUUCAAAGCUUGAAAGAAUUACAUGUUCAUAUAAACAAAACAAAUGUUUCCAAGCAGAUUAAUAUGUAUGUCAAACUAAGCACAUGUUUUGGUUUGACAGGCACCUGACGCUGAUGGCCACCGCCAGAAAUAUGCAAG
rnacentral:lncRNA from 1 species